rfam:Felis catus isolate Cinnamon breed Abyssinian chromosome E3, whole genome shotgun sequence.
GCCUGGGUGGCGCAGUCGGUUAAGCGUCCGACUUCAGCCAGGUCACGAUCUCGCGGUCCGCGGGUUCGAGCCCCGCUUCGGGCU